rnacentral:tRNA from 2 species
UUAUUAAAUUAAAUUUAAAUUUAGAAUUUAAAUGUAAAUAUUUAAUGUAUUUAAUAAU